UAUUCAUCCCCAGCCCUGCAGAAAAACAAAACAAAACUAAACAUAAGUACAGUAAAUGAAAUAAACAGGUCUCUUACAAGGACUACACACUUGAGGGAUUCAGAAACUCUUUUGCUUUUAUGUUUGACUUACCUGUUAUUUCAGUUGUUAUUCAAUGAUCCAUUUUUGGCUUUCAGGGAUCGACGCAGGAGGAGAAGCAGGAGUUCUUCCAGGUCUCCAAGAACAUCAAAAACUGUAAAAAGGAAGUCUUCCAGGUCUCCAUCCCCUAGGAGCAGAAAUAAGAAAGAUAAAAAGAGGGAAAAAGAACGGGACCAUAUUGGUGAAAGAAGAGAAAGAGAGCGUUCAACCUCCACAAGAAAGAGUUCUAAUGAUAAAGAUGGGAAGGAGAAGUUGGAGAAGAACAGUGCUUCAGUUAAGGAAAAGGAGCACAAUAAAGAACCAGAUUCAAGUGGGGACAAAGAAGUAGAUGAUAAAGACACGCCAAGGACAGAAGAAAAUAAAGUACAGCAAAAUGGAAAUUGUCAGCCAAAUGAAGAAAACCUCUCUACCAAAACUGAAGCAGUAUAGGACCAACUAAUGCACCUCUACACUCAACGCUGGAAUAAAAUCCAAAGCUUUUAAUUCUUUGAACAAGAUGUAAACAGGAAUGAGAUCUAGUUGAGUAUAAAGUUAGGUGCACCAAUAUUGUCAGGUGAUAUUGUGGACAUCUUGUUACUGAGUAAGGAGAUAAAGCACGGACAUUGUGAAAAUACCACAGGUUAUCCAAACUCUUCAUCUUCUAAAAUCUGUGCAUUUCCAUGGUGGCUGAUACAUUUGUCAUGUGGUUUGUUAGUAUUUGCCAGGAACCAUUGCAAAUAAAUUGAACAUCAGUCAUCCAAAUUUGUACUAUCCCUAAAGACUGGAGAUAAGCAUUGAUGGCUCUUUAAAAAAUGCUAGUUCCUGAAUUUUGUAUUGUUUUACUUUUUUAAAAGAAAAAUUUCAUUAUAUACAAUUUGAUGAUGUGCUUGAAAUUGGUGCAGAUAUAUACACACCAUUGUAAGUGCAAAGUAUGUAAGAAGUUUUAACAUUUGCUUCACAGAAUUUACAGUGAUUGUUAAAUUCUCACUAUUGUGUGUUCUUUUUGCUCACUGUUUAGGACAGCAGUUUUUCUUUAAAAUAGUUUUACAGAUUAAAAUUGCUUAAAUAAGUGGAUUACAAAACAACUGACAAUGCAUGCUACUGUUCUCUUUCAAAGGGAAGAGCAACUGUGUUGAAUACUGUAUUAGUAUUCAGUGUUGAGAAUCAUUGGGUUUGCCCACAACUUUUUAAAACUUUCUUGACAUUUCCAACCUUACUAUGAAUAUUGCAGUGUGUUUUGUCAGCUGUAGGUGGCAAAGAUGCCCUUAUAAAAAAGAAACUGGGUUUCAAAAUGGGCAAUGGGAGCACAAGCUGAAGCUUUAGUGCCUUCUACAAUGUGGUAUACUGUUUUCUAGAAUUUUAUAUGUGCUAGUCAUUCUCAAUUCAUAUGGACUCUAGAUGGAUAUUCAAACCCAUGUGUAAGUGGUAUGUCAUAAGAGCUUCUUACUUAGUUCAGGUAUGAAAGGGAAGUCCCGUUUGCAAGACUGACUUCAGAGCUUAAAACAAUGCAGUUUUGGGACCAUCAGUUUUAUACUGUGAUAACUGAAAAUAAACGUGUUCUUUUGUCUUCAAAUCAAAGGAAACUUUUUAGUUGACUACAUUGGAUGGCCUUAAUUAUUGCCUCUCAAUCAGUUUCUCAUAAACAUUGUAUAGAAGUCAUACCUUAGGGGAUUUAGCUCAGCAGCAUAAGCGCAUCUCUGGUCAGGCGCAAGGUCAUGAGUUUGAUUCGUGCACCAAAAAAAAAAAAAAAAAGUUAAAGGAAAUCUACUUUAGGGAGACUAGUGUAUAUAGGAGUGUUUUAUGUUUAAAGAUAUGUUUACUUGAGUUNNNNNNNNNNNNNNNNNNNNNNNNNNNNNNNNNNNNNNNNNNNNNNNNNNNNNNNNNNNNNNNNNNNNNNNNNNNNNNNNNNNNNNNNNNNNNNNNNNNNUAAGGUUUUUCAUUGUUUCCAAAAAAGAAAUGCUUUUAAUUAGCAUAUUAUUAAAAAUCAAGUAUAAUUAUUUUAAUGCAAAUUUAAUACAAUCAAGUUACUCAGUUGCCUUACCUCAUGGGAAGAGUUACUUUUAUAGAUUAUAAAAGCUGAGUAGCACAUUGUUUACUUGGUUUCAACUUGAGUUUUCUUUUAAUGUUAGUACUGUUGAAACUUAAGUAUUUGGUGGAGACUGGGAAAAGUUGCCCCUUUUGCAAGUAAUGAAGCCUGGUUUGAUAAUGAAGCUGCUUAAUCAUCUUCAUGUGUUCAGAAUUACUGUGUGUUUGGUUUUUUCCCUUUUUGUCACUGUGUACAUUAAAAGUUUCCAAAAUGCUUUACUAUGUAAAGUAUAGAUGGUCAUUUUAAUCAUUCAGCCACAUACGUUUGGCUGAUAAACAGCUUACACUGAUACAGGAAUGCUUGGGUGCACACGGAAAGAUUGUGAAGGAGUGUGUGUCUUGCAUCAAUAGGUGUCUUAUUUAUGAUAUGUAAGUAGAAUAGAACAAAUGUUUGAAUCUUUGUUAUUUUUAGUACCGUUUCUCUAAUAAAGCUAAGUAUUUUAGAGGAAAGUAUUUGUUUAUGCAUUUCAAAAAAGUAUCUUAGUUUUCACUCCAUUCUUAGUUGACAGAGAGAUUGUUUUGGCAUGGGGAAUUCGUGUUUGUCUGGUGUCUAUAAAACAAUCAUUUAAAGUUUGUUUUCUCAUAGUCUAGACACUAGAAAUUUUUUAAUGUUAGAAAUUAUUCUUGCUGCUAAUCAUUUUUCUUCCUGAUAACACUUUUUUAAGUUUUAAAAUAAUCACAUGAAUCUUGAAAAGGUAAUUUAUAAAACCUUGAGAAUGAGUAAAAAUACAGGGGAUGUGGUGAAAAUGAAAUUAGACGACUGUGUUAGAUUUGACAUUCUCUUACGGGGAAACGCAAGGAUUCCUUGGCUCCAUAGAGGGGUUCUUGAGAAAGACAGCGACAGAAAGGAGGAAGUGGCGCAUGGGGCGGGGUGGGGAACACAGUUUUCUGUUUGUUCACUUAGAGUUACUAUGUUUCUGUUUAUUAAUUUUCUUUUAAGAUAAUUUUGUUUUAUUUAAGAUUCUUCUUUUUUCAUCCCAGGUAGAUGAUGUCAGGAAAACUGAGGUAAGGCCAAGAAGAUAGCCCUUUUACACUCGAUACAUUCUGAUUGUCUUUUUUUACCUUGGUUUUACAGACUAUUCUAUUCCUUAAACUAUAGUUGCUGUAAUUUUAGGCAAAUUUUGUUGGUAUUCUUACUGCUGUUGAGCAGUGUUUGCUGACCUAGUAUCCCAAGAUGGUCCUUUUAUAAGUAAGCCAAUCAGUUACAUUUGUGGAAAAAAAUUGUUAAUUACAAUUACAUCUUACUAUUUUCUGUCAAAUCUAAUUAGCUUAUUAGUAAAAAAUAAAAGUCAGAUUAUGACCUUUGUAAGUACCAGAGUUAAAUUUUGACAUUCUCAAUAAAAAGUAGGGGUCUACGAAUUUAGCUCAGUAACACCUGGCAAGCAUGAGGUCCUGAGUUUGAUUCCCAGUAACACUCCCCAUACAAGUAAACAUAAAAACAAAAAGUAGUAUUUAGAAACAAAAAAUUUUUUUUGGUUAAGAAAUGGUGAUAUUAAUAAUUUUCAGAACUUUCAGUCUUUCUAUUUGUAUAUUGCUGCCAAUAUUUUAAAAAAAAAUAAUCUGACCAAACCUAUUCUCAAAUAAAAAUAUUCAGAUAUAAUGUUUAAAAAAUAUAGUAGGCGGUUUCAGUUUAACACUGUAUUAUAAGUAUAACACACUUGUAUAAUCAUCUUUAGUUGUUGAAUUAGCAGUCUUUUAGACAGAUGCUUACAGUAAAACUUCAGUGAGUCAUUUUUUACUAUUUUCUUUUUUAAAUGUUUAUUGUUUUAGUUUAAAAAUAAGUGUUUGAUUAUCAGUGGCCAGAGUUAAGCCAUUUUUUAAAAAUAAAAAGUACAAUAACCAUGUGUUCCAUGUUUAAAUAUUUUUUAUUUCCUCUGUCCGUAUUAUUUUCUCAUGUUUGUAUACUAUUCUAAUAAUCACUUAAAUUAUUUUCAGAUUUCAAAAGUCAGGGCCCUUUAAAGGGCUAAAUGCUAUUUCUGGAAGAAGUAUAGAAUAAAUGUAUAAAGUAAUCUUUUAAAACUGCCUGCUCCAUUUAACUUUGGGUUUAUGAGUGAAUCUUUCUGAGGAUACUUUUAUUUAUAAAGGUGAUUUUGCCUGAAGAGUGAUAAUUAUUGUUUUUUUUUUUUAACUUUUUAUUGGUACGGGGGAUCGAACUCACAACCGCCUGCUUGCAAGGCAGGUGCUUAUGCCACUGAGCUAAAUCCCCAGCCAUGAUAAUUAUUUUAAAAAUAAAAAUAAUACAUUUUUGUUUUUCUAGUUCAUAGAUAGGUUAGAUUUAGUAACCCAUCUCUCCAUUUCAACCUAAGGUACCUUUAUCAUUCCUGUUACUUAUUACAAUUAUUAGUUGAGGUGGUGGUGGUACUGGAGAGCAAACCCAGAGCCUCAUGCACAGCAGCCAAGCACUCUAUCUCUGAGCUGUCCCCAACCUCUUAAUACAACAUUCUUUAUUUUUAAAAUUAAUUUAUUUUUUUGAGACAAGAGUCUCACUGUUGCAGUUCAGGCUAGCCUUGAGCUCACUUUGUAGCCCAGGCUGGUCUCCACUUGCAACGAUCCUCCUGCCUCAGCCUCCCUAGUGCUGGGAUUAUAGGUGGUGCACCACCACAUCUGGCUCAUAAUGUUCUUUUUUACAUUUUUCUAAAGGAGGUUUUGCCAAGUUGCUUGAUUUUUUAAAUAUGAAGCUAAUGUUUUAAUUUGGAGUAUUAUCAGUUUGUCACAUAUUUUACCUCUAUAAAUUUUAUUUUCCUAAGAUUGGAAUGAAGUAGUAGUUAACCUUUCCUCUCAUCUUUUUUUGUCUUUUCAGAAAGGGUCUUGCUAUGUAAUCAGACUGGCCUAUACACUAUGCAGCCCAGGCUGACCUUGAACUCAAGGUGAUCCUCCUGCCUUUGCCUCUGAUUGCCAGGAUUACGGGUGUGCAGUGUGCACCCUCAUACCUGGCUUUGAAAUUCAUAAAAACUAUACUGAAAGAAUCAGAAGAGAUUAAUUUUUACCAGUUUAAGGCUACUUGUUGGUAACAUUGUGGGUAAUAACCUAGAAAACGCCUGAUUUUCACUGAACAUUAAAUUUGAAAAUAAUGUGUAGCUGUAUAAAUCAAUUUAAUAGUUCAAUAAUUAUCUUCUAAAGUUGAUUAAUGGAGCAGUGUUGUAGAUUAUCAAAGAAAUAGUUUAAAAUGUAAACAUAAAUAUGCUGCAUAAAUGUAUAUUUAUGUGAGUAGGACUUUCAAAUGGUACAUGUAAAAUUUUUAUCAAAUAAUGCUGCUAUUAUGUUGCUAUAUUUUAAUAAAAUGAAAAUAAUAAGU
ensembl:lincRNA